rnacentral:rRNA from 1 species
AGGAUGAACGCUGGCGGUAUGCCUAACACAUGCAAGUCGUACGAGAGUUUAUAACUCAAGUGGCGGACGGGUGAGUAACACGUGAGAAUUUACCUUUAGGAGGGGGAUAACACCUGGAAACGGUUGCUAAUACCCCAUAUGCUUUCGAGUGAAAUAGAUUUUUCUGCCUAAAGAAAAGCUCGCGGCUGAUUAGCUUGUUGGUAAGGUAAUGGCUUACCAAGGCGACGAUCAGUAUCUGGUUUGAGAGGACGAUCAGACACAUUGGAACUGAGACACGGUCCAGACUCCUACGGGAGGCAGCAGUGGGGAAUUUCCGCAAUGGGCGAAAGCCUGACGGAGCAAUGCCGCGUGGAGGUAGAAGGGCCCACGGGUCGUAAACUCCUUUUCUCAGAGAAGAAGCAAUGACGGUAUCUGAGGAAUAAGCAUCGGCUAACUCUGUGCCAGCAGCCGC